GCAACCUACCUUAAUCAGGGGGAUAGCCCGAAGAAAUUCGGAUUAACACCGCAUAAAAACACAGUACAGCAUUGUACAAUGUUCAAAUAUUUAUAGGAUUAAGAUGGGCAUGCGUGUCAUUAGCUAGUUGGCGGGGUAACGGCCCACCAAGGCGACGAUGACUAGGGGAUCUGAGAGGAUGACCC
rnacentral:rRNA from 1 species